UACGAUGGGGGCUAGCGUUGCUCGGAAUCACUGGGCGUAAAGCGCACGUAGGCGGAUUGUUAAGUCAGGGGUGAAAUCCUGGAGCUCAACUCCAGAACUGCCUUUGAUACUGGCGAUCUCGAGUCCGGGAGAGGUGAGUGGAACUGCGAGUGUAGAGGUGAAAUUCGUAGAUAUUCGCAAGAACACCAGUGGCGAAGGCGGCUCACUGGCCCGGUACUGACGCUGAGGUGCGAAAGCGUGGGGAGCAAACAGG
rnacentral:rRNA from 1 species